CUCAGGAUGAACGCUAGCGGCAGGCCUAACACAUGCAAGUCGAGGGGUAACAGGGAGUGCUUGCACUCAGCUGACGACCGGCGCACGGGUGCGUAACGCGUAUGCAAUCUACCUCUUACUGAGGGAUAGCCCAUGGAAACGUGGAUUAAUACCUCAUAGUAUUAUAGACUGGCCUCAGUUUAUGAUUAAAGGUUACGGUAAGAGAUGAGCAUGCGUCCUAUUAGCUAGAUGGUAAGGUAACGGCUUACCAUGGCUACGAUAGGUAGGGGUCCUGAGAGGGAGAUCCCCCACACUGGUACUGAGACACGGACCAGACUCCUACGGGAGGCAGCAGUGAGGAAUAUUGGACAAUGGGCGAGAGCCUGAUCCAGCCAUGCCGCGUGCAGGAAGACGGCCCUAUGGGUUGUAAACUGCUUUUACAGAGGAAGAACCCUCCUUACGUGUAAGGAGCUGACGGUACUCUAUGAAUAAGGAUCGGCUAACUCCGUGCCAGCAGCCGCGGUAAUACGGAGGAUCCAAGCGUUAUCCGGAAUCAUUGGGUUUAAAGGGUCCGUAGGCGGGUCUAUAAGUCAGUGGUGAAAGUCUGCAGCUUAACUGUAGAACUGCCAUUGAUACUGUAGACCUUGAAUUAGUAUGAAGUGGUUAGAAUGUGUAGUGUAGCGGUGAAAUGCAUAGAUAUUACACAGAAUACCGAUUGCGAAGGCAGAUCACUAAUACUAUAUUGACGCUGAUGGACGAAAGCGUAGGUAGCGAACAGGAUUAGAUACCCUGGUAGUCUACGCCGUAAACGAUGGUUACUAGCUGUCCGGCCUAAUUGAGGG
rnacentral:rRNA from 5 species